rnacentral:rRNA from 1 species
UACGAAGGGGGCUAGCGUUGCUCGGAAUGACUGGGCGUAAAGGGCGCGUAGGCGGUUUGGACAGUCAGAUGUGAAAUUCCUGGGCUCAACCUGGGGGCUGCAUUUGAUACGUUCGAACUAGAGUGGGGAAGAGGGUCGUGGAAUUCCCAGUGUAGAGGUGAAAUUCGUAGAUAUUGGGAAGAACACCGGUGGCGAAGGCGGCGACCUGGUCCUUGACUGACGCUGAGGCGCGAAAGCGUGGGGAGCAAACAGG